rnacentral:rRNA from 1 species
UACGGGGGGGGCAAGCGUUGUUCGGAAUUACUGGGCGUAAAGGGCCAGUAGGCGGCCAACUAAGUCCGACGUGAAAUCCCCAGGCUUAACCUGGGAACUGCGUCGGAUACUGGAUGGCUUGAAUUCGGGAGAGGGAUGCAGAAUUCCAGGUGUAGCGGUGAAAUGCGUAGAGAUCGGGAGGAACACCGGUGGCGAAGGCGGGUCUCUGGGCAAUUCCUGACGCUGAGGCGCGAAAGCGUGGGGAGCAAACGGG